rnacentral:misc_RNA from 1 species
UUACCGUCUAACUUUCUUCUUUCUAGGUGUAAAAUCCAAGUCCGAUAUAUCAGAAUCACUUUCCGAUAACAGAUCAAGGAGAUUUAUGGUUUCUUUGUUGUUCGAAUUCUUCAUUGUGAUCGGAGAAUCAUAGCACGGGUCAUGAAGUUAACAGACGGACGCGAAAUCGUAUUGACGGCCAGUUCGAUAACAUAACCUCUCUAAUUGAGAUAUUAGUCAUCAAGGAACCUACUUUAGCUAGUGUGAUCUUGAUUUUAUCCCUCCUGGGUAGUCCAUGAAGAGGAUGAGCAGUAGAAAGUACAGUUGACGCGUUAUUCGAAAGAGACACCUGCACGAGGCUGGAGACUCGCCAAAUAACUGAUAGCGUGGGCGUCGCGACUUCGAAGACGACGUCGAACGACCAAAGUCGAGAGGGGGUGAAGCUUCCCCGUUCUUCUUGUUCCAUUGGUCAGGAACCGAUUGUGCGAUUCGUGUCUUCCUCCUCUCCGUCUUCUGUUCUUACCGAUCGUCCCUAUCGCUGGAGGCAAACUGCGAAUUGUUGCACCGAUAGAGUCGUCAUCAGUUGCUCUGAUUUGGAGAGGAAGAUUCAUGAUACCAAGAUGAUGGACACCUAUGAUGAGAUUUAAGAUUCACUUGUGAUAGAUAAACUAUCAAUGCACUCAAGGAAAAUGAAUGGCCACUGAAAUCGAAGUUCCGCGUGACCAACCGGAAGUGUGCCCGAAAAGCGAGCGUAAGGUGCCUUUAAGAAGGAUAAAAAUGUCCUCAGAAGAACUAUAAAAAGCGUUCCACGGGUUAGCAGGCUCAAUCACGAGCGGAGUAUCCCUCGGACCUCUCCGUGACUUCCGGUUCUUGGUAGCGGGCGACGACGCGCGUGUGCCAGCGCGGUGACCGGAUAUGGCGAAGAACCGACUGACCAAAUCGUUCGACGGAGAGCCGCCGCUUCGCGUAUCGAGCUUUUCAUGCGAAUCACGCGUUCUCCUGUACCAAAUACCAAGCUCGUAUCGGUGACAUCAUACUCCGCGUUGUAUACUUGUGCCAACGUGCACAGGUGAACGCGUGCUAGAGUAUACAAUUGGAUGGAACGAUGUCGUCGUUUUCAAUCACGAAUCUCAGUCCUUUCUUUGCAGUUGCUUCACUUUAAUCGUUUAACUUGUUAACUGGACGAUGACUGAAAAAUCAUAAUUAGAAUUGACUAAUUCUGAUAAUCAUGGAAUUAAUAGUUAACAAAAAGUGUCAAUUUUAAUUUAAUGUAGAUACGAUAUAACGUCGAGUGCAACUUCAAAAGAGUAUUGAUAAUCAGUAUUUGAGAUUUUUAUGCUGUUCUUUUAUUUCUUCAUACUAUGUAUUAUUACGUUACAUUAGUUACAUAUUCUGUUUUCUAUCUUAUUUUGUCAUUCUUUUCUGAUUGUUCAAAUUCCAUCAGAAACCAUCCUAGUUGAAUUAAUCCCUUAUGGAUUCAAACGAAACAAUCUUUUCUCCAUCUAUAUAUCAAACCUGAAAUCCUACUAAAUAGAUAAUGACAAGAAAAAUUAAGUAAGAAACGAGGGAGUUAACGAGAAAGUUCUAUCAAUAAUAUAUAUCUCGUUUGUAAAAUGAAAAUUUCAAUUGGAGAAAACAUUAAACGAAAAUCACGAAAACAUAAGCAAGCACUUACUAUAAAGAAACCAA